UGGGGUAUCGCCAAGCGGUAAGGCACCGGUUUUUGAUACUGGCAUGCCCUGCUUCGAAAUCUACUAUCUCGCCCA
rnacentral:tRNA from 1 species